GGGCCACCUGAUAGAAACCCUUCUGGAGGCUGAGGCGACCUCUGCCUGCUUUGACGACGUGGUCCACGUCCUGAAGGGCUGGCUCACCUCAGCCAAAGCAUGGGAGCGGGAGAGAGCCCUGCGGGUUUGCACCCACGUGCUGGGCGCUUGCAAGGAGCGAUGUGAGCUCGUGAGAGGAUGUCCCUGCAAGCAGUUGGGCUCCCUGGUGGGACUGCUGGGGUCUCUGACCGGCGACUGCCUGGCCACGUGCCGCCAGAGGGCAUGGG